rnacentral:rRNA from 1 species
GACAGAGGGUGCGAACGUUGCUCGGAAUCACUGGGCGUAAAGCGCGUGUAGGCGGACCAGCAAGUCAGGUGUGAAAUCCCUGGGCUCAACCUAGGAACUGCAUCUGAAACUGCUGGUCUUGAGUGUUCGGAGAGGAAGCGGAAUUCCUGGUGUAGAGGUGAAAUUCGUAGAUAUCAGGAGGAACACCGGUGGCG